GUGAGGAAUAUUGGUCAAUGGGCGAGAGCCUGAACCAGCCAAGUCGCGUGAAGGAUGAAGGUUUUAUGAAUUGUAAACUUCUUUUGCAGGGGAAUAAAGUACGGUACGUGUACCGUUUUGUAUGUACUCUGCGAAUAAGGAUCGGCUAACUCCGUGCCAGCAGCCGCGGUAAUACGGAGGAUCCAAGCGUUAUCCGGAUUUAUUGGGUUUAAAGGGUGCGCAGGCGGGUUGAUAAGUCAGCGGUGAAAGUUUGCAGCUUAACUGUAAAAUUGCCGUUGAAACUGUCGAUCUUGAGUGCAAAUGAGGUAAGCGGAAUGUGUUGUGUAGCGGUGAAAUGCUUAGAUAUAACACAGAACACCGAUUGCGAAGGCAGCUUACUGGGAUGCAACUGACGCUCAUGCACGAAAGCGUGGGGAUCAAACAGGAUUAGAAACCCUUGUAGUCC
rnacentral:rRNA from 1 species